rnacentral:misc_RNA from 1 species
UCAAACUUGGUCAUUUAGAGGAAGUAAAAGUCGUAACAAGGUCUCCGUUGGUGAACCAGCGGAGGGAUCAUUAGAGAGUUCGGGAAACUCCCACACCCACCGCGAACAUACCACCAGUUGCCUCGGCAGGUCGCGCGCGUCACGCCAGGCCUGCCGGCGGCCCACCGAGAACUCUCCGUCGUUAGACGUUACUGCAUCUCUGAGAGGGGGUGGGAUAUCGAGACACACGAUGAAUUUCGUCAAAACUUUCAACAACGGAUCUCUUGGUUCUGGCAUCGAUGAAGAACGCAGC